GUGGAUGCCCUGGCAGUCAGAGGCGAUGAAGGACGUGCUAAUCUGCGAUAAGCGUCGGUAAGGUGAUAUGAACCGUUAUAACCGGCGAUUUCCGAAUGGGGAAACCCAGUGUGAUUCGUCACACUAUCAUUAACUGAAUCCAUAGGUUAAUGAGGCGAACCGGGGGAACUGAAACAUCUAAGUACCCCGAGGAAAAGAAAUCAACCGAGAUUCCCCCAGUAGCGGCGAGCGAACGGGGAGCAGCCCAGAGCCUGAAUCAGUGUGUGUGUUAGUGGAAGCGUCUGGAAAGGCGCGCGAUACAGGGUGACAGCCCCGUACACAAAAAUGCACAUACUGUGAGCUCGAUGAGUAGGGCGGGACACGUGGUAUCCUGUCUGAAUAUGGGGGGACCAUCCUCCAAGGCUAAAUACUCCUGACUGACCGAUAGUGAACCAGUACCGUGAGGGAAAGGCGAAAAGAACCCCGGCGAGGGGAGUGAAAAAGAACCUGAAACCGUGUACGUACAAGCAGUGGGAGCACGCUUAGGCGUGUGACUGCGUACCUUUUGUAUAAUGGGUCAGCGACUUAUAUUCUGUAGCAAGGUUAACCGAAUAGGGGAGCCGAAGGGAAACCGAGUCUUAACUGGGCGUUAAGUUGCAGGGUAUAGACCCGAAACCCGGUGAUCUAGCCAUGGGCAGGUUGAAGGUUGGGUAACACUAACUGGAGGACCGAACCGACUAAUGUUGAAAAAUUAGCGGAUGACUUGUGGCUGGGGGUGAAAGGCCAAUCAAACCGGGAGAUAGCUGGUUCUCCCCGAAAGCUAUUUAGGUAGCGCCUCGUGAAUUCAUCUCCGGGGGUAGAGCACUGUUUCGGCAAGGGGGUCAUCCCGACUUACCAACCCGAUGCAAACUGCGAAUACCGGAGAAUGUUAUCACGGGAGACACACGGCGGGUGCUAACGUCCGUCGUGAAGAGGGAAACAACCCAGACCGCCAGCUAAGGUCCCAAAGUCAUGGUUAAGUGGGAAACGAUGUGGGAAGGCCCAGACAGCCAGGAUGUUGGCUUAGAAGCAGCCAUCAUUUAAAGAAAGCGUAAUAGCUCACUGGUCGAGUCGGCCUGCGCGGAAGAUGUAACGGGGCUAAACCAUGCACCGAAGCUGCGGCAGCGACGCUUAUGCGUUGUUGGGUAGGGGAGCGUUCUGUAAGCCUGUGAAGGUGUGCUGUGAGGCAUGCUGGAGGUAUCAGAAGUGCGAAUGCUGACAUAAGUAACGAUAAAGCGGGUGAAAAGCCCGCUCGCCGGAAGACCAAGGGUUCCUGUCCAACGUUAAUCGGGGCAGGGUGAGUCGACCCCUAAGGCGAGGCCGAAAGGCGUAGUCGAUGGGAAACAGGUUAAUAUUCCUGUACUUGGUGUUACUGCGAAGGGGGGACGGAGAAGGCUAUGUUGGCCGGGCGACGGUUGUCCCGGUUUAAGCGUGUAGGCUGGUUUUCCAGGCAAAUCCGGAAAAUCAAGGCUGAGGCGUGAUGACGAGGCACUACGGUGCUGAAGCAACAAAUGCCCUGCUUCCAGGAAAAGCCUCUAAGCAUCAGGUAACAUCAAAUCGUACCCCAAACCGACACAGGUGGUCAGGUAGAGAAUACCAAGGCGCUUGAGAGAACUCGGGUGAAGGAACUAGGCAAAAUGGUGCCGUAACUUCGGGAGAAGGCACGCUGAUAUGUAGGUGAAGUCCCUCGCGGAUGGAGCUGAAAUCAGUCGAAGAUACCAGCUGGCUGCAACUGUUUAUUAAAAACACAGCACUGUGCAAACACGAAAGUGGACGUAUACGGUGUGACGCCUGCCCGGUGCCGGAAGGUUAAUUGAUGGGGUCAGCGCAAGCGAAGCUCUUGAUCGAAGCCCCGGUAAACGGCGGCCGUAACUAUAACGGUCCUAAGGUAGCGAAAUUCCUUGUCGGGUAAGUUCCGACCUGCACGAAUGGCGUAAUGAUGGCCAGGCUGUCUCCACCCGAGACUCAGUGAAAUUGAACUCGCUGUGAAGAUGCAGUGUACCCGCGGCAAGACGGAAAGACCCCGUGAACCUUUACUAUAGCUUGACACUGAACAUUGAGCCUUGAUGUGUAGGAUAGGUGGGAGGCUUAGAAGUGUGGACGCCAGUCUGCAUGGAGCCGACCUUGAAAUACCACCCUUUAAUGUUUGAUGUUCUAACGUUGACCCGUAAUCCGGGUUGCGGACAGUGUCUGGUGGGUAGUUUGACUGGGGCGGUCUCCUCCUAAAGAGUAACGGAGGAGCACGAAGGUUGGCUAAUCCUGGUCGGACAUCAGGAGGUUAGUGCAAUGGCAUAAGCCAGCUUGACUGCGAGCGUGACGGCGCGAGCAGGUGCGAAAGCAGGUCAUAGUGAUCCGGUGGUUCUGAAUGGAAGGGCCAUCGCUCAACGGAUAAAAGGUACUCCGGGGAUAACAGGCUGAUACCGCCCAAGAGUUCAUAUCGACGGCGGUGUUUGGCACCUCGAUGUCGGCUCAUCACAUCCUGGGGCUGAAGUAGGUCCCAAGGGUAUGGCUGUUCGCCAUUUAAAGUGGUACGCGAGCUGGGUUUAGAACGUCGUGAGACAGUUCGGUCCCUAUCUGCCGUGGGCGCUGGAGAACUGAGGGGGGCUGCUCCUAGUACGAGAGGACCGGAGUGGACGCAUCACUGGUGUUCGGGUUGUCAUGCCAAUGGCACUGCCCGGUAGCUAAAUGCGGAAGAGAUAAGUGCUGAAAGCAUCUAAGCACGAAACUUGCC
rnacentral:rRNA from 1 species